rnacentral:rRNA from 1 species
UACGUAGGGUGCAAGCGUUGUCCGGAAUUAUUGGGCGUAAAGAGCGUGUAGGCGGCCAGGUAGGUGGGUUGUGAAAACUGGAGGCUCAACCUUCAGACGUCGACCCAGACCCCCUGGCUAGAGUCCGGAAGAGGAGAGUGGAAUUCCUGGUGUAGCGGUGAAAUGCGCAGAUAUCAGGAAGAACACCCGUGGCGAAGGCGGCUCACUGGCCCGGAACUGACGCUGAGGUGCGAAAGCGUGGGGAGCAAACAGG